AAAGUCGUAACAAAGGUUUCCGUAGGUGAACCUGCGGAAGGAUCAUUA
rnacentral:rRNA from 1 species